GAUUCUAGGGUGGUGGCGCAUGGCAGUUCUUAGUUGGUGGAGUGAUUUGUCUGGUUAAUUCCGUUAACGAACGAGACCUCAGCCUGCUAACUACAGUAGUUACGUUUAUCCUCUGUUCGCCGCUCGUGUGGUUGGCCUCCGGGUCGAUCGCUUCGAGUUGAACUCUUGGGGAUAGGAGAGUUUCGAUGCUUGUGGCUUCCUUGAAGUGUCGUGCCCCACUAUCUGUGUGUAGCGGAUGGAAGUUUGAGGCAAUAA
rnacentral:rRNA from 1 species